rnacentral:rRNA from 1 species
GACGAACGCUGGCGGCGUGCCUAAUACAUGCAAGUCGAACGCUUCUUUCCUCCCGAGUGCUUGCACUCAAUUGGAAAGAGGAGUGGCGGACGGGUGAGUAACACGUGGGUAACCUACCCAUCAGAGGGGGAUAACACUUGGAAACAGGUGCUAAUACCGCAUAACAGUUUAUGCCGCAUGGCAUAAGAGUGAAAGGCGCUUUCGGGUGUCGCUGAUGGAUGGACCCGCGGUGCAUUAGCUAGUUGGUGAGGUAACGGCUCACCAAGGCCACGAUGCAUGGCCGACCUGAGAGGGUGAUCGGCCACACUGGGACUGAGACACGGCCCAGACUCCUACGGGAGGCAGCAGUAGGGAAUCUUCGGCAAUGGACGAAAGUCUGACCGAGCAACGCCGCGUGAGUGAAGAAGGUUUUCGGAUCGUAAAACUCUGUUGUUAGAGAAGAACAAGGACGUUAGUAACUGAACGUCCCCUGACGGUAUCUAACCAGAAAGCCACGGCUAACUACGUG